UGAAGCUUACUUUGCCCCUGCAUGACUUCAUGUGAGGGCUACUUUUCUUCUACAACUUGCAAUUCCACCAUCUCUAACCCAACAACAUUCUACAUGUUGCUUGCUUCAUCACACUAUGCGAGUGCUUCCUAGGUACCGAUCCGCUUUCGGGACUUUGGAAGUGUCACAUCUCAGUGAAGCUCCGAGGAUAAGGUGAACACAUGAUAGUUUGUAGGGGAGUUAUUAUUUGACCCUCUUCACCCUACAACUAUUUUGAUCUGAAUACUUGGGGAGAGGAGUGGUUCUAUCUCCUGAUCGAACGUGCGCCUAGUGGUCAAGAAGAUCUUCCCAGUGUGUUGUUGUGCCACCACUGACGACUGUCAGUUGGAAUGCCAAGCCUUCCAAGGAGGAGAAGCGUGAUCUCGACCAAUUGCUUCAACGAAUCGAAUAGUUCAAGGAUGUGAGUCUCAGUGGAGUGGAUCUCAUCAAGACCUAGUUGAGAUGGCGCAUCUUGCCACUUCAUGCAAGGGCACAUCCUAUCAAUUCAGGCACUUUCGACUGCACCGGGAUCACUGCUAGGAAUAUAUCGAAUGAAUACUUCAUGAAGGUAUUGUAAACCUUGACUCUGGAAGAUGAAGAAGUGAGCUAGGUGUCAUGUAGUUCCUUGCAGUGUUGACCAUCCCCGGCCUCGUGUCAAUACCACUACUCCCCGAAACGACCAAGUCGACGAGAAGUUUUUGAAAGAGGAGGUGGCAGCUACUAAGGGUUCUAACACCUGAAAGAAGGAAACCGUUAGGGUACCGAGUCGAUCCCAAGCAAUCAUGGCAUGGGAGGAUGAUAUUCCGCUAACCCGUCGCUCAAGAAUAUCGCUCUCGAAGUGGAAGCAUCAUGAUGAAGCCUUGGUGCUGGGGCUAUGGAGGCAGUGCCAAGGCUAGUUUUGCAAGUGGCGGAACCCAAGAACUUAUGCAUAGCGCCUAGACAUUCGAUGACACGAGCCAUGACUUUGACUGCCUGGUCGUUUGCUAUCGCGACGAGUGCCCCAAGUUGUGUAUGGCUUUUGUCCAGUUAUGGUCAUUUCACAAACAACCAAGGAGUGGCCGAAGGAAGGUCACCGUCAUCGUCAGGUAUGUCAUUGUAUUUGUUUCUUGUGUUUGUGUUCAAGUAGUUAGCAGCCAGUGUUUGGCUGACUAAUUCAUGUAGUAGGCUGACACUGCUAGGUUCCAAGGAAUCUGACCAGCUUGAGAAGGUGGUGAAGCUGACUGCAGUGUAGCUGACUAGUCAGGCCCCUAGCAUCUUAGGGAUUCCUAAAGUGUCGAGGGUCCAUAUGCCUAUCACGGCAGUCCUGCAGACAACAGAGAGUUUGCCUUUGCCUGUCCCACCAUUGGAGCAGAAACACAAUUAGGAGUUCAAAUGUUGAGGAAUGUGUACUAUUAAAGCAAGGCCCAACUGCUCUUCAAGAAGGGGUGUUGCCUGUCAUGAUAACGGUAGAGGCAAAAGAAUGGUCCAAAGACCAAUGCUGAGAACCAAGAUCAUGGACAUAAUGACAUGGAACAUGAGUUUCACUCGGGAAUGAAGCUUAUGAACAAAAGGUGUCAAAAAAAAAAACCUUUUAGUGUUUUCAUUCCUAUAGAAAGUAUUUUCAGGAAUGCUAUGCACACGAGACCGUCCAGACGAAUUUUACACCACAAUCAAUCAGUUCUGUCCAUUGCAUUGCAACGGACAGCAGCACAU